UACGAAGGGGGCUAGCGUUGCUCGGAAUCACUGGGCGUAAAGCGCACGUAGGCGGCUUCUUAAGUCAGGGGUGAAAUCCUGGAGCUCAACUCCAGAACUGCCUUUGAUACUGGCGAUCUUGAGUCCGGGAGAGGUGAGUGGAACUGCGAGUGUAGAGGUGAAAUUCGUAGAUAUUUGGAGGAAUACCUGUGGCGAAGGCGGCCUUCUGGACCGGUCCUGACGCUGAGACGCGAAAGCGUGGGGAGCAAACAGG
rnacentral:rRNA from 1 species